GGCACACCUUGUAGAAAUGACAUUAUAAGCAUUCAGUGUAACAGUCAUGCCGUAACAAAACUUGGCACAUAUUUCAAAAGCACUAGGUCCUCCAGGAAUGUCAUGAAUGUCAACUUCGUCACUAUUCCCUUCACUUGCAUUAGAAACCAGCUUUUGCAAAGUGGCACUCUUGGAAAGGAGAGGAAACUUAUGCAGAUAAAACUUCACAUCUCCUACAUUGAUAGCGAUGUCCGAGGCCAACUCUGAAGCAACAUAUCUGACAUUGUUCCCAUCUGUUUGAAAAUUAUCAGGCUUGG
rnacentral:misc_RNA from 1 species